rnacentral:tRNA from 1 species
GGUGAGAUGGCUCAGUGGGUAAGAGCACCCGACUGUUCUUCUGAAGGUCCAGAGUUCAAAUCCCAGCAACCA